AUUAUUUCGAUUUUAUUCAUGAUAAAAAAAUUACAUUUAAAUGAUAAAAAUCUUUAAUUUUUAAUAACUUGCUUAAUUUUUUUUUAAUCUGCGCUUCUAUUGAUUUGCUAAUUAUUCCUAACAAACGUAUCAAGCGCACCUGCAUUAGAUAAGACGAUGGAAUUUUACUGGAUAUGCUUCGUAUACCCGAGACAGCAGAAGCCAACCGAGACGAUAUCGAUGAUACCAGUCAGUUAGUUGGUCGCUGGUGAAUCGGCUUCUCAUUCAAAAAAUUCAAUAUGCAUGUCUUCGGUGUCAAGCAGAGAGCAAAAAAGAUGAUAGCCGACAGGACUGUGUCGUCGUCUGGGGAGAAUGCAAUCAUUCAUUUCAUUAUUGUUGCAUGUCACUUUGGGUGCAACAGAAUAAUCGUUGUCCAUUAUGCCAGCAAGAAUGGUCCAUUCAACGAAUGGGAAAAUAACUAAAUCAAUCAAGC